UAGUAACUGCGAGUGAAGCGGGAAAAGCUCAAAUUUUGAAUCUGGCGGUCUGAAUGGGCGUCCGAGUUGUAAUCUAGAGAAGCGUCUUCUAGCGCUGUCCGUGUACAAGUCUCCUGGAAGGGAGCGUCAUAGAGGGUGAGAAUCCCGUCUUUGACACGGGGAAGCAGUGCGUUGUGAUUCGCUCUCGAAGAGUCGAGUUGUUUGGGAAUGCAGCUCAAAUCGGGUGGUAAAUUCCAUCUAAAGCUAAAUACAGGCGAGAGACCGAUAGCGAACAAGUACCGUGAGGGAAAGAUGAAAAGAACUUUGAAAAGAGAGUUAAACAGUACGUGAAAUUGCUGAAAGGGAAACGCUUGAUGUCAGUCGCGUCCUCCAUGGAUCAACCUUGCUUCAUCGCUCGGUGCAUUUCUUGGUAGGACGGGUCAGCAUCAGUUUCGCUUCGUCGUACAACGUCCGAGGGAACGUGGCACCUCUCGGGGUGUGUUAUAGCCCUCGUUCGUAUGCGUCGAAAGGGACUGAGGAACUCGGCACACUUUGGU
rnacentral:rRNA from 1 species